AUUGAACGCUGGCGGCAUGCCUUACACAUGCAAGUCGAACGGCAGCGGACCUUCGGGUGCCGGCGAGUGGCGAACGGGCGAGUAAUAUAUCGGAACGUACCUUUCAGUGGGGGAUAACGUAGCGAAAGUUACGCUAAUACCGCAUAUUCUGUGAGCAGGAAAGCAGGGGAUCGCAAGACCUUGCGCUGAUUGAGCGGCCGAUAUCAGAUUAGCUAGUUGGUGAGGUAAAGGCUCACCAAGGCGACGAUCUGUAGCGGGUCUGAGAGGAUGAUCCGCCACACUGGAACUGAGACACGGUCCAGACUCCUACGGGAGGCAGCAGUGGGGAAUUUUGGACAAUGGGCGCAAGCCUGAUCCAGCCAUGCCGCGUGAGUGAAGAAGGCCUCGG
rnacentral:rRNA from 1 species